rnacentral:lncRNA from 8 species
AUGGACAGUGGCACCAGGGCAAGUGCCAAGGGAGUACAGAGGGGAAAAUGGCGUGUUUUGGGGCAGGAACUUGGGUGCUGCUCCUUUCAUAGGUUCCUCAGCAUCAUCAUUACCAUGCAGGAAUGUGCCCCUAGGAGUCCAUUCUGUGUGGUUUUGGAGGGAAACGCGCUCUCAACCCAUCACUAUGGACCGAGGAUGCGUGUCCUUAGAUCCAACUGUGUGAAUCCUGUCCUGGAAUGUCAACCAGUUUGGCCAGAGCUGGCGAAUGGAGGCAGUAAGCAAUCAGAGCCAACUUAGCCCCAUGGGGACUCGGCGAGGCCCCUGCAGAGCCACAUGCUCCCUGAAUGGACCCACUCAAUUAACUGGCCAUGAAUGCUAACCUCUCUUGACCUCCGGUGACCCCCAGGUCACGCACCUCCACAAUGUCGCUGUGUCGCUAUAGGCGUGCAUGAGGAUGCGGCAGAGCAAAGGGAGGGGUGGUCAGUGGUUUUGUUCCCCUUAUGUCCAGCUUGCCCCUGUCUUUCACGGGGAGUGUGUAAUAAAUUGCUUUGUUGGUUUUCAGUUGUGCUGGUUUCAGUGGGAGACCUGUUAGUACAAAGGGUGAUAAACUACAGCCAGGUGACCUAUCAAGACCUUGGAAAUUAGGAUAUUUCUCCAAAAUGUGAUCUCUAAUAUUCAUAUUCAUAAGUGAAUAUUGAAUUAUAUUUGAAGACAUUUUAAUUUCCCUUUUAUUUAUUCAUAUAGUUCAAGUUAUUUUGUUAAGCUCAAAUAUGUCUCUUUCUUUACUACUAAGGUGAUUAUCUA